ACUCUGACCAGCCAUGCCGCGUGCAGGAAGACUGCCCUAUGGGUUGUAAACUGCUUUUAUCCGGGAAUAAACCUAAAUACGUGUAUUUAGCUGAAUGUACCGGAAGAAUAAGGAUCGGCUAACUCCGUGCCAGCAGCCGCGGUAAUACGGAGGAUCCAAGCGUUAUCCGGAUUUAUUGGGUUUAAAGGGUGCGUAGGCGGCCUGUUAAGUCAGGGGUGAAAGACGGUAGCUCAACUAUCGCAGUGCCCUUGAUACUGAUGGGCUUGAAUGGACUAGAGGUAGGCGGAAUGAGACAAGUAGCGGUGAAAUGCAUAGAUAUGUCUCAGAACACCGAUUGCGAAGGCAGCUUACUAUGGUCUUAUUGACGCUGAGGCACGAAAGCGUGGGGAUCAAACAGGAUUAGAUACCCUGGUAGUCCACGCCCUAAACGAUGAACACUCGCUGUUGGCGAUACACAGUCAGCGGCUAAGCGAAAGCGUUAAGUGUUCCACCUGGGGAGUACGCCCGCAAGGGUGAAACUCAAAGGAAUUGACGGGGGCCCGCACAAGCGGAGGAGCAUGUGGUUUAAUUCGAUGAUACGCGAGGAACCUUACCCGGGCUUGAAAGUUAGUGAAUGAUCCAGAGAUGGAUCAGU
rnacentral:rRNA from 1 species